GCGUAACAAGGUUUCCGUAGGUGAACCUGCGGAAGGAUCAUUAAUGAAUCUGAGAGGGGCUGUAGCUGGCCUUUUCGUUUGAGAGGCAUUUUGUGCACGUCCUGAUCACUGUCCGAUUCUCCCAACACCUGUGCACAUGCCAUAGGUCGGCUUCUGAAGUGCUGAGGUCUUUGUUGACUUUGCUCUGUGUGAGGCCUUCCUGUGUUUUAUCACAAACUGUUCUGUUUAUAGAAUGUCUGUUGCGCGUGUGAUGCGCGCAUCCCAUGUACAACUUUCAGCAACGGAUCUCUUGGCUCUCGCAUCGAUGAAGAACGCAGCGAAAUGCGAUAAGUAAUGUGAAUUGCAGAAUUCAGUGAAUCAUCGAAUCUUUGAACGCACCUUGCGCCCCUUGGUAUUCCGAGGAGCAUGCCUGUUUGAGUGUCAUGGAAUUCUCAACUCUGCAUUCAUUUUUGUGAAUGGGAGCUUGGAUGUGGAGGCUUAAUGCUGGACACCUCUCAGUGUUUGGCUCCUCUUGAAUGCAUUAGCUUGAAGCCUUUUGUGGAUCAGUUUCGGUGUGAUAGCCAUCUGCGUCGUUCUGUGAAGCAAUAUAUAUAUAUAUUUUAUGGGCUUGUGGCUUCCAGUCAUCCUUCACUGAAUGAAGAAUGUUGUACCUUGAUUGACCUCAGAUCAGGUAGGGUUACCCGCUGAACUUAAGCUUAAAA
rnacentral:rRNA from 1 species